AGCAGCCGCGGUAAUUCCAGCUCCAAUAGCGUAUAUUAGUGUUGUUGCGGUUAAAAAGCUCGUAGUUGAAUUUCGGGAUUGGGAUAUAUCGGUCAUGCCUUUAGGGACAUGAAUCGGUGUGUGAUCAAUUCUCACCUUCUGGUGAAUUGGGAUGCUCUUGGGUGUUUCGAUGAACUAGGACAUUUACUUUGAAAAAAUUAGAGUGUUUAAAGCGGGCAUUUUUGCUUGAAUACAUUAGCAUGGAAUAAUAAAAUAGGACGAUGGUUCUAUUUUGUUGGUUUUAGGACCACGUAAUGAUUAAUAGGGAUAGUUGGGGGCAUUAGUAUUCAAUUGUCAGAGGUGAAAUUCUUGGAUUUAUUGAGGACUAACUACUGCGAAAGCAUUUGCCAAGGAUGUUUUCAUUAAUCAAGAACGAAAGUUAGGGGAUCAAAGACGAUUUAUGUACGUCGUAGUCUUAACCAUAAACUAUGCCGACUAGGAAUCAGACAAAGUUAAUUUUUUAACGACUUGUUUGGUACCUUACG
rnacentral:rRNA from 1 species